rnacentral:rRNA from 1 species
GAUGAACGCUGGCGGCGUGCCUAAUACAUGCAAGUCGAGCGAACAGACGAGGAGCUUGCUCCUCUGACGUUAGCGGCGGACGGGUGAGUAACACGUGGAUAACCUACCUAUAAGACUGGGAUAACUUCGGGAAACCGGAGCUAAUACCGGAUAAUAUAUUGAACCGCAUGGUUCAAUAGUGAAAGACGGUUUUGCCGUCACUUAUAGAUGGAUCCGCGCCGCAUUAGCUAGUUGGUAAGGUAACGGCUUACCAAGGCAACGAUGCGUAGCCGACCUGAGAGGGUGAUCGGCCACACUGGAACUGAGACACGGUCCAGACUCCUACGGGAGGCAGCAGUAGGGAAUCUUCCGCAAUGGGCGAAAGCCUGACGGAGCAACGCCGCGUGAGUGAUGAAGGUCUUCGGAUCGUAAAACUCUGUUAUUAGGGAAGAACAAAUGUGUAAGUAACUAUGCACGUCUUGACGGUACCUAAUCAGAAAGCCACGGCUAACUGCGUG